rnacentral:rRNA from 1 species
GACGAACGCUGGCGGCGUGCUUAACACAUGCAAGUCGAACGGAAAGGCCCUGCUUUUGUGGGGUGCUCGAGUGGCGAACGGGUGAGUAACACGUGAGUAACCUGCCCUUGACUUUGGGAUAACUUCAGGAAACUGGGGCUAAUACCGGAUAUGAGCUCCUGCUGCAUGGUGGGGGUUGGAAAGUUUCGGCGGUUGGGGAUGGACUCGCGGCUUAUCAGCUUGUUGGUGGGGUAGUGGCUUACCAAGGCUUUGACGGGUAGCCGGCCUGAGAGGGUGACCGGCCACAUUGGGACUGAGAUAGGGCCCAGACUCCUACGGGAGGCAGCAGUGGGGAAUAUUGCACAAUGGGCGGAAGCCUGAUGCAGCAACGCCGCGUGCGGGAUGACGGCCUUCGGGUUGUAAACCGCUUUCGCCUGUGACGAAGCGUGAGUGACGGUAAUGGGUAAAGAAGCACCGGCUAACUACGUG